rnacentral:rRNA from 1 species
UACGUAGGGGGGCAAGCGUUGUCCGGAAUCAUUGGGCGUAAAGAGCGUGUAGGCGGCCCGAUAAGUCCGCCGUGAAAGCCCAGGGCUCAACCCUGGGAUGCCGGUGGAUACUGUCGGGCUAGAAUCCGGAAGAGGCGAGUGGAAUUCCUGGUGUAGCGGUGAAAUGCGCAGAUAUCAGGAGGAACACCGAUGGCGAAGGCAGCUCGCUGGGACGGUAUUGACGCUGGAGAACGGCGAAAGCGUGGGGAGCAAACAGG